rnacentral:lncRNA from 1 species
CUGGAGUGCUCCUGUACCAGUCAUAUUGAACAUGCUCAACCUCAACUUCUAAUCAGGCUUGUGGAGUGCAGAGGAGAACUCUGCAGACCGCCUCCGAGAUCAUGAGGACAAAGAAUGAAGAAAUAAGAAAUCAAAGCCAAAAAUGCCUAAAGAUAGGAAAAGAAGAAAUGAACAUUUGGGGCAGCAAGGAUAAAAAAGUGGAGAGAAACUGGAAGAGUGGCAGGAGUCAGGGCAGAGAGAAACUGAACAACUUCAAGGCCAGUGAGUGAGUAAAGAAAAGAAGCAGAGGUUU